rnacentral:rRNA from 1 species
CCUACGGGUGGCUGCAGUGGGGAAUAUUGCACAAUGGGCGAAACCCUGAUGCAGCAACGCCGCGUGAAGGAAGACGGGUUUCGGAUUGUAAACUUCUAUUCUUAGUGAAGAAUGAUAACGGUAUCUAAGGAGCAAGCCACGGCUAACUACGUGCCAGCAGCCGCGGUAAUACGUAGGUGGGAAGCGUUGUACGGAAUUACUGGGUGUAAAGGGAGCGCGGGCGGGAAGCUAAGUCAGCUGUGAAAACUACGGGCUUAACUCGUAGACUGCAGUUGAAACUGGUUUGCUUGAGUGAAGUAGAGGUAGGCGGAAUUCCGAGUGUAGCGGUGAAAUGCGUAGAUAUUAGGAGGAACACCGGUGGCGAAGGCGGCCAACUGGGCUUUAACUGACGCUGAGGCACGAAAGUGUGGGGAGCAAACAGGAUUAGAUACCCGGGUAGUC